CAGUAGCCGCGGUAAUACGAAGGUCCCGAGCGUUGUUCGGAAUCACUGGGCGUAAAGGGAGCGUAGGCGGCGUGGUAAGUCAGAUGUGAAAUCCCGGGGCUCAACCCCGGAACUGCAUCCGAUACUGCCAUGCUAGAGGAUUGGAGAGGUAGCUGGAAUUCUUGGUGUAGCAGUGAAAUGCGUGGAGAUCAAGAGGAACACUCGUGGCGAAAGCGAGCUACUGGACAAUAACUGACGCUGAGGCUCGAAGGCCAGGGUAGCGAAAGGGAUUAGAUACCCCUGUAGUCCCUGUCUCUUUACA
rnacentral:rRNA from 1 species